ACAUUUUUUCAUUUUUUUUUUACAUGUUCAGAAACACUAUGUGCCAUUAUCCUCUGAGAUAAACAGAGAAUGUUGACAAAUAGAGAGAUGUAUUUGUGGGUUUAGGUGUGUGUUCCUCUCUAUGCUAUCAUUAAAAGCUUAGCUGGAGAUUCUAUGGCUUCCAUAAAUUGUUCCAUGGUCUACUUUCCUGCAAACAAUGUGCUGCUUAUUUUAUUGAAAUGAGCGCUUUUCAUUUAUACAGGGCACAAACCAAUACCACCCCCAGGCUUGGAUUUGGAUUCUAGUGGGGGGCUGUUUGGGUUUCUGUGUACCUGAAUCCCAGUCCAGGCCUGCACACCCCCAAACAGAAUAGGCUGGUUAACUAGGAAUCAGUCCAUAUUAUGUGUCAUUGAAUAAUAUAUAAAGUGGGGCACAAAAACAAUAACAGUAGGUAGGCCAGCCGGGGGUCCCCAUACAGGGGCAGAUAAACUGCCAAACUAGUGUGAAGGACCCAAAUCAGCAGCUGAAUCUGCCCAUGUAUGGCUACCACCUUAAAUUCAUCAUGUACAGGUAUGACAAAUAAAUAUAUAAAGGAAACCUCAGGGCCACUACAAUACAAGGAAAAAUACACUGAGCCAGAAAGAAGAUACAUGACUCCCAUCGGUCCUGCCCCAGCAGAGCUUACAAUCUAGAGACCUGUGUGAUAUUUCAGAGCUACAGAGAUGUUGACAAGCAGCACCAAUAAGUCCCUGGAAAUCAACCCUAUAUUUUACUAAGGCUGAGAAGAGGCAAUUUGUGUCCACGUAAACUACAACUCCCAGCAUGCCCUGACAGAUACUGCUCUCUGGUGGUGCAGGCAGGGUUAGUCAGGAAAGCUGCAGCACAUUAAGAUAUUAGGCACUAAUAAUAGCGUAAAAGUGAUAGUGGCUAAGCACAGACAGAGCUCCUUUCCAGAUCAGCCUAACAACCAGUUCAAAGGCUCCAGGAAACACCAAGUCAUCACUGGCUAUUGCCCAGCGCCUGGCGAACAUCAGCAUGCCCGGCAUCCUGCUCGUUUGUGUGUGGGUCUCUCCUGUCAACUAGUCGCUGCGGCUGCAUCGGAAUCGCAACACAUCGCGUUCCCUCUCUGUCACUGAGACAGCGCUAUGUUCCAUCAAGGGGGCUGCGACUUGUGAUUUUGCAUAGAGCGCAGUUCCUGCUGGCAGCCGUGACAUCAUCGCCCAUGUGACUUCUCUGUGAGCCGGAAGUGAGGCGCUUGUGGAACGCUGCGUUCCAACAGUUUACAGUGUUACAGAGAAGCGGAAAUACUAACUCUGUGGCCCUUAUACCCACCGCUGUGGUAGUUAUAAUGGCCUGGGCCCAGUUUGCUGCUGGGGAAGCACAUCACAUAAGGCAUAACCUAUAGUAUAAGGUACCAUGGUUUUGGUAUGAUUAAUGGGUGCAACAUUUACCUGAGAACAUUUAUCCGCUCUCCGUUCCAGACUCAGGAAGGGACAGGCACCUGUAGGUUAAAGCAGUGGAAGAGACGUGUACGGAAACAUUUGCUCUCUGGUCUGCUGUAAAUCCAGCUUUUCAGCCGGAAGAUUUAAAGUAGAACCGAACCCAUGCUUUAACAAUAAGGCACAAUCUCCAUGCUUUGUCUCCAAUCACACCAAGCAUGUGCAAGGGAUGCAAGGAACAGACUCCAGGCUUUUUGUCUG